ACGUGAUCUGAGUUCAGACCGGAGCGAUCCAGGUCAGUUUCUAUCUAUACGGGGCUUUUUCUAGUACGAAAGGACCAAAAAAGCAUGGCCAAUGCUUCAUGCAAGCCAUAAUUAUUAAUUUAUGAUUAAAUCUUAGUAAAUAAUUACCCCAACCCACCCCCCUCAAAAAAAGAGU
rnacentral:rRNA from 1 species